CCUGCAGGGGCGCAGAUGUGCUGUGAUUUCAGAACACAGAGCUCUGAGACAUCUUCAUCAUGGCCUGGACAGCUCUCCUUCUAUAUCUUCUCUCUCUCUAUGCAGGUUCUGUGGCCUCCUACGAGCUGACCCAACCACCUUCAGCAUCAGUCACUGCAGGAGAGACUGUCAAAAUCACUUGCUCUGGGGACCAAUUGCCAAAAAAUUAUGCUCACUGGUUUCAACAAAAGCCAGACCAGACCAUAUUGCCACUGAUAUAUAAAGAUAGUGAGCGACCAUCAGGGAUCCCUGACCGAUUCUCUGGUUCCAGUUCAGGGACAACAGCCACCUUGACCAUCAGUGGAGCCCUGUCUGAGGAUGAGGCUGACUAUUACUGUUUGUCAUCAUAUGGUGAUGAUAGUACUUUGUUCCACAGUUAUUUAGGCAGAUGGGGAAGUGACUCACAAACCCCUUGUCUGUGA